AGUCACUGUGCCGGUUUAAAAGACCUGGGGCACUAGGGUGUGGCCCCUUGCAGGCCAAGCCAGAACAGUGCCAGCAAGGGGCUGAGUCCAGAGAGGAAAGGCCCAGGAGUCGCUUUCCCUUAGAACAGAUUUGUCCUUCUCCCCACUUGCUGCAAACAGCCCUCGAUGGCUCUUCUUCCCCCACCUCAAGCCUGCUCCUUUCAGACUAGUGGAGCCUGAGUCUGUCCCCAGGAAGGCCACCCGGGCCACCCAGGCCCACACGAUGGGCCCCUGCUGCUUCUGUGCUGGCCUCUGCUCCCCUGAGAUUCAGACAGCCUACUUCCCCAUCUGCAGUCCUUUGACUUCUCAGUUCAACACCCUGGCCCUGGGGAGCGAGCCUCAAGACUCCACUCCCAGGAGAACCCUCCAGGGGGCGCUCUCAUCCCCAGAGUCAAAGCUGGGCAGCGAGACUGGGAAAAAUGACUGGAAUAGAGGAACUAGUUCUGUGACCUGGACAAAAAGACAAGAAAGCAGGAGCCGUUCCAGAUGUUUCUGCUCCCUCCCGCCCCCGGCGUGGUCUGAGUGAACCCAGGGACAGGGACAGGAAGAGAUGCUCCCCAGGGACUCUGGUCCUGGCUGAGUCACCUGGCCUGGAUGUCCAGUUCACGCUACCUCUAUGUUACUCACUGACCAAGAAUAUGACUUAAUUCCCCGUGGGCGAUACCACCAGGCAUAUAAAGAAAUGGGUGAUGACCGUGACACAGAAGCUAAAAGCCUCAAUUACCCUUCGCAACAGGAACCGGGGACAUUUUUAUGAAGAGAGAAAUUUUUGCCUCAUAAAUCGCACUUGUGAGAAAUCCAGCCCACGCUGCUGGUGACCUUGUCACAUCUUCCACAGCCAGAGGCAGCCCCACAGAUGGCGGGGAUCACCUCAGCCUCACCCCUGCCAUUAAGCCCAAGUAUGUGUUCUAGAGAGUGUAUGGGGGUCAGCCAGGGCUAGGAUGAGGCCAGGAUAGGCAGCCGGAAUGCAAGUAUAUUCCCAGCUCUCAACCUGGCUCCCUCUGUUGGUCUCAACUGCAGGGCAUGGGCAUAAGAAGAGGGUCUUUAAAAAGUCUUCUUGACGGGGUCCCACCCCCAGAGAUUCUGAUGUAACUGGUCCAGGGUGGGCCUGGGCACUGGGAGCUUUAAAAGCCGCCCAGGUGAUUCUGAUGUACAGCCAAGUUGAGAGCUUACCCCUACCCUGCCCUGCCAGUCGAUGAAUCAACAGCAAGCUUUUAGCAAGUGCAAGCUGGUGGGAGGGGGGAGACCAGAAACAGGACACAGUUUCUGCCCAGGCUCAUUUACAUGAAGCCAUAAUGCGGACUCCCCACACCCCACGGGCAACAGAGACCCUGUGAAGAGGCCUGGGUGCAAGCACCUGGGGGAGCAGCUGCACCUGAUCUGAGCCCAGAAGCUUAGGCUGUCUAAAGGCUCCCACCCAUGCACACAACCACUGCGUGCUCCCCCGCCCCCUGCCGCGGCGUCCUCACAGGCGCAUGCGUCAUCUCCGUCCCGCUUUCUUACUCCUCCGACCUUCACCAAGCAGCCUGACUGAGCACACCCAGCUGCCUGAGGAUCCCCUUUUAUUCCACGGACAGACGUUUGCAGACGACUUUGGGCACGGACUGAGCACCAGGACUGCAAGGGGCAGCAGGCUGGAAGAAACAAACACGGGCGGGCAACAACAAGGCUCCUUCAAGGACAGUACAGCUCUUAUCACUGACAGGUAGAAUUCACUUAAUGCGCUGCCUCAGGAGGCGCACACAGAGGCUCAAAAGAGUCUCCAGCAACCUGUGUUCUUCUAAUGAAAUCGAAAGCGGGUUCCAUAGCGUUCCAGUUACUCUUGGGUAUAAAUAAAGAGUCCCAUUUUCUAUAACAAAAAGUCAGUUCACUCGACUGUCAAAGCCAUAAACGCUCCCAGGUUCAAAGCCUCCCCUUCCCUUGGCCAGCAGAUCAGCCCUUAGGUGGCUUGGGGGUCUCAGGGUCCCGUGCUGACAUUCCGGGGGAGACUCUGCAUGCUCUUGAGAAGCUCCCCAGGGCUGGGGGUCCCUGGACCUGACAAUGUCUCCUACCAAAGCUGACACUGCAGCAGAAGCCCUGCUCAACAUCUGUUUAUUCAUCCAGUAUUCAAGCUUCUGUGGGUUGUUGAUAUUUGUUUUAAUGAAGGCAUUUAAGGAUAUAAAUUUUCAUUAGAGCACAUCUUAUUUUUUGUAUGUUUUUACUGCUCUCCCUACUCUUUAGUACUGAUAAAAUUAUUAGAUGUUCAAUGAGCAAUUUAUACAACCCAGAAAAGCAGUCAUUAAUUCAUUAAACAACUAUUUAGCCAAUGGCUCCUGCAUCCUUGAAAUGGUUCUUGCCAUUGUGGACAUACCAAGAAAUACAUUAGCACAGACCCUACACUCAGAGAGCUUAUAGUUCAUUCAGGCCUCAGAUAGAAACUAGUAAGUAUGAUAACAUCUGAUGCAGAAAGAUGAAAAAUACAACUCACCUUUCAUCUCAAAGCUGAGUUUUCCACAGUUCACAUUUCAGUACAUGACCUUCUAGUAUCAGCAUUAUCACUGUUACACAUGCAUUAGGUGGUGAAUAUUUUUCUCAUAUCAACAAAUAUUUUUCAGCAAAAUGAUUUUAGUAUUUCAAGAGGUGGAUGAAUCGUGAAUAUCUUAAUCAUGGGAUCUUUAAAGCAGAGAGAGUCCUUACCAGGCUUCUAUUCUGUGGGUGUGUGGAGUGGGUGUAAAAAUCAGGAAACGGUGAGAAUUAGGAAGCGUAGCAGUGUCCCCUCCUAAGAGCACACACAUUUUGAGAAGAGAAGGGAAGAAAAGUUAAAACUCUGUGUUGGCCAGACUUAUCUGUGCUAGAUUCAGCCCCAGCCCCUAAAAAGCCACCCCCCUUCACUGAGCCAAAGAUGAGGGGUCAACAGACCCAGAGGACUUGUGUGUGUCCAGAUGGCCCUGGGUGACCUGAUCAGGAUAUCUGAUGGUAACCAUCAUGCCACACCGUCUGCAGAAACUAGGGUCCCCCUUGCUCCCUCUGGAUUCUUGA